AGUCGGCGAGGGUUGUGGCCUCAUUAAUGGCCUGGUGGAGCCGGUUGACUUGUUAAGUCAAAGUGCCGUCAUUUGCCCACUCAGGGGAAGUAACCGAAUGUUUGUGGGCGGCAGCGUGGGGCGCAACCUCGUGCUGUGGACGGCCCUUGGGGCAGGGGAAGCGCUGCCAUGGCCACGCGAGGAGCAACGGCAUCAAGAUGACUGUGUUCUCCAGGACUCUCAAUUGAUAUGCUUGCGGCACUGCAUCGAUAAAUAUGUAUGCCGUCUGUGGUCAGGUGGCGUUGGGCUUGAAGUUGUUCGAGGAAAUGCGGCGCUUCAUUGAUAAAAAUGUGCGCCAUGUGUGAUCGAGCGAGAGUUGGGCUUGAAGGUGUUCGAGGAAAUGAGGCACCUUAAUAUUUAUGCCGUGUGAUCAGGUGGGGUUGGCCUUGAAGGUGUUCGAGGAAAUGUGGCACCUCAAUGAUAUUUAUGUAUGUCGUGUGUGGUCAGGUGGGGUUGGACUUGAAGUCGUUCGAGGAAAUGCAGCACUUCAUUGAUACAUGUGUCUGUCGCGUGUGUGGUCAAGCGGAGUUGGGCUUCAAGUUGUUUGAAGAAAUGCAGCACUUCAUUUGUUGGAGGAAAUGCAGCUAAGACUGCCAUGACCUAGGAGGAUCGAACCAUUUGACUCAAAUUACUAACCCAAGAUAAAGGUAGUUUGUUGGCGAGCGGAAGCAGAUAUGGUGUCCUGGCAUGUCCAUGAUCUUUGUGCAAUUUCUCAGUGAUGAAGACCAGGUAACAUGCCUCUCCUUGUGCAUUAAACAAAGGGACUAGGUUUCAGUCAUAAGUGGGACUAAUGGAUGUGCACGAGUACCUUUUAAGUAGCAUGUCUCUUAUCCUGGUGGAAGAAAGUUGGAAGCAGAUGAGGGAAUUCUACAUGCAAAGUUAUGGUUUUUGAACAAAGUAAAUAUUUCUAGUUUUUCUACCAAAAAGAAAAAAGAGUAAUGAGAUCUGGUUUCAGUUCUUAGCAGUUGAUACUUUUUCUUGAAGGACAGGAUAGCAAUCUACUGAAUAUAUUGGAAAGUGGAGCGUGGUAAAAGCAAUUUUCCGAUUGCAAAAUAGAGAAACCACAUUGAACAGAAGAAGAGAGAGCUCUUUGGAUCUAUCAUGUGAACAUGACAAAGAGAGCAUGUCAAGACUGACUUCUUACUUACUCGCCAGUGGAGAUGACUGUAAUAUUUUGUUAAGAGUAAUGCUCCUGGCAGCAUUUGGUGGUGGUGGAUAUAAUGAUCAUGAUGAUCAUGAUGGUAGGAAGCAUCUUUAGAGAAAUCUAUUUCUUAAGAAUAAUGACUUCAGCUUCAGCAUCAUGGCGAAGAAGUCGCUGUACUUCAUUGGGGGGAUUGUUGCGCCAAAUUUGUGGCUUUUGAUAUCGGUAUCCCAGUUUGGCAAACUCAUGAGCAACUCUGUUCCCUUGCCUGUAUAUAUGGGAUACACUGAAGUCAUUCAGCUGGGGAAUCAACACCCUAAUCUCUCUCACAAUUCUUAGAUCUUCCUUGGACUUCAAUCUCACCUCGUUCAUGAAAACAUCUACCACCGUCUUUGCAUCGCCUUCAACCCAGAUACUGUGCCACCCGUUCUGCAAGGCCAGCUCAAGGCCUCGUUUGCAAGCAGCUAACUCUGCAACGGAGCUCGUCGCCCUCCCAAUGCAUUCAGCAUAUCCCAGCAUGAACAGCCCUUCGUGGUCCCGGCACACACCACCUAUGCUGGCGUUGCUGAAUUUGCACUUGGAAGCUCCGUCAAAGUUCAACUUGAUCCACCCGGAAUAAGGUUUUUCCCACACAAACGAAGAUGCAUUGCUGUGGUGAUUCCUUUGGGUCAAGAGCCUGAGUGAGGUCUUGACACAACUCCUGAUCAUUUCAGGGUAUGAUGUUGGGAAGAUAAUCUGAUGAAGUUUGACACAUCUCCUGAUCAUGGAGAAAGAUUAUAAUGAGCAGAAGAAGAAAGAAGAAGAAUAGAGGAAGAGGGGGAGAAAGCUAUACAUGAACUUGUGCAGCAAAACUAAUUUAAAGGUUUGAAGGGGAGGAGACUUGAGGAACUCACCAUCCAAUUCUAGCAAAUACCAAUCAAAGCACUCCUAUAAAAGAAAAGAAUAUGUCCUUAAACUGUCCAUGUCAAAAGUAGCCAUUGGUGUUGUUCCUGAAAAAACUGCCUAAAAAGCCUUAAGGUAGACAUUUUUUGCCCAAAUAUUAGCUCCUAUCUAUGAAUUUGUUAUAUUUAACACAACAACUCAAAGUUUGACUUUGUGAUCCCAUAGUACCAGAUUCUCCAUUGACUUCUUAUUUGUUUUGAUAAGUUUGUGUACACUGAUCCUCCCUAGACUCUCUCGGUUGUUUCAGUGUUUUCAAUUGGGUUGUAAGUGCUUGUUCAUUUGCUUCACUUGUAUGUUCUAUAUCGAAAAAUAUGAAAGUGUCAAUGAGAUUCCUUGUUAUGAGAUGAAACAAAGAUUUUGAUUGCCACA